GAAAUAGCACGAAACUUUACAAAUCCACAUAUAUAUGUUAUUAUUCAAAAAAAAUGCCCUAGAUCGGAUUUAUAAAUACGUUUUAUAAUAUUUAUAAUAUACGUUUUAUAUUUAAAAUAUUUAUUUUCGUGUCCAAAAAACCUGCUGUAGGGAUCUUUGUGUCGGGGAAACGGGAGUUGAAACUUGGGGAAAAUAUUUUAUGUAGUUGCAUUAAUGCACGUGAUGUUUACUAAGACAUUAAUAUAUAAACGUAAAAAUCAGACACGUAUGCCCGAUAUAGGCGUGUAAGGGUACGAGCACAGCCAACGUGACUCUCGGCUUCCCAGUCAGGACUUGUCGGUUUGUAAUUGCUGUUGAAUUCGCUGCAGAUUUAUGAUGCACCGCCGUCUCGUAUAAACGUGACACCCUCCGUAUUUUACCACUGAACUGUAAAUAACGCGUAAGUACUCAACUGUGACUCUCUGAAGAACGUUUUACCAUCAACUGUUGACAGGGACUGAAAGUGAAAAUUAAAAUCUCCCGCCCGCCUGGCCACUUUACUGCCAUGGAAAAUACUCACAUAUUUGAUAAGCAUGUAAUAAGAUGCACAAUAUUUAACUAAAAUAAAAUUUCUUAAACAAACGUUCAUGUUUUAAUUAAAAGUAAAAAUUAGUUUCUCAGUUUCAGCAUCGGACUCUGUUUUAAGUAUGUCGGUGAUGGUUCACUGUAAAAAAUAAGAGCCGCAUGCUUUUUUAUACCAGUAAAUGAAUGCAUUCAGGUAUAAGUAUUUUACUGUAAAACACUAGGCAUUAUGGAAAAUUUUGUUGCUUUCAACGUAUUUACAGCAGUACGUGUUACCGGGAAAUCUGGAUUUGACUUUUGACAAAUCGAUCGCCACUUCUCCAAGAACUACUGCUGAAAUUAAAUGAAAAGAUAAGUUUUCUACGCCAUUUUGUAAAUAUAGUGUGCUUCAUUUGAAGUCAAAAUCACGUACAGCCUGUACUUUGUCUCUGUCGUAUAUGUACGAAUAUUGAACAAACUGUGGGUUAUUUGAAGUGUUUAUGUCAGUGACGAGUAUUUAGAAUUAUUUUUAAGUUUCAGAUUGUAUUUUACGUUUUUUGCGUUUGGUGCUGGCUUAGACAUUCACUGUUUCGUUUCAGAAACGUUUUAUCCGAUGCCGGCAGUGUCAUAUAAGGGAAACUUUGUAUUCGAUAAGUAUAAAAUAAGCAUCACAAAAAAUAUAUCUAUUUUAAAUGAAUGGGUGGCACUUUAAAUCAGUGCUGAUUGACAGCAUCGUUUUGGUGGGGGAGGAGACAGGAGGGUCAGGCAGACAUGAUGGACAGGAUGUGUCAGUAGCAACCCCCACCCACCCAAAGAGACCAAGUGACAGGGCAGAUACAUGGAGACAGAUGGGGCACCAGGCAGGACAAGACAAGCAGCAUGGCAAGAGGCACCAAAGAAGCAGGGAUCGGACCAGGGACCAACAGCUAACAGGAGGGACCAACGGACAGAGACAAAACAGAUGAGACUCAGGACAUGAUCAAACAGCAGGAACUAACAUCAGACUUAAACAAGGACCAGGGAACACAAGAGACAAGCAGGCAGAACAAGCCACAUUAAAACAGGGUGGACAAAUAAAGGGACAACAGAGACACGAGUAAAAACAGAACAGGAAGCCACUGGAGACACAGACUAAGAAAAACCGAAGGCAGAACAGGCCUGACCGCACCAGGACGUUGGACUGGGUUGGUGUGGACAUUGGGCUGAGGCAGGGGCUCACAGAGCAGGACUUAGGGAAAGGCCCAAAGGGUCCCACUCCAAGUCCCCUGGCUAGACAUUAUUAGGAACAACCCAGCCUGGCAGGGAAAGAGGAAGCCGUCUAGGUGAUGACUGGAGACAAGGCUGGUACUGACGGGACAUCAUGAGACAGGGCUGGAACGGGCAGGAGAUCAAGAGAAGGGGCUGGAACCAGUGGGACAUAAGAAGAUGCGGCUGGAAUUGGCAGGACGUCAGAAGAUGGGGCGAGGCCAAGACACCUGGUGGCGAGCAGGGUGAGGCCGAGAUAUCUGGAGAAAAGUAGGGCACAGCAAGGACACCUGGAGGUGGGCAGGGCAAAGCUGGGACACCUGGAUCAGGUUCAGGCAGCUAGGUGCAGCAGACAAGAGGAUGGGCUCUAGGGAUACAGUAAGGAGGCAAGGAGGGUGGAGCCGACCCCUGUGGGGUGGACUUUGGAAGAUCAGGCAGAGCGAAGGUGGCCUCACCUGGGCUGGGUGCUGGAGACACGGUGGCAGCCUUUCCUGGGCAGGGCUUUAGCUGAACUGGGUCAAGUGAGACGGACUCUGGUAUGGGUUCAGCCUGCUUCUGUUUUCACUUCCUGCGGCUGGAGACAGCAAGCGAAGCUGCGGCUAGUGGGCAAAUCACUGGUUUGAAAGUCGACUUCAAUGACCGGACAAGCGAAGACGGACCAAACAGAUACUUCAUACAUACAUUAAUAAAGGGCAACAAGCAUGCGGCUAGCCUCAGGGAGCCAGUGGGCAAAUCAGCAGAAAGCUGUGGGGAGCCAGCCGGAUGAAUCGGAGGCAAGCUGCGGGGAGCCAGCAAGUGAAUUGGCAGUGAGCUUCGGGGAGCCAGCGGGCAAUGAGCUGAGUGGCAAUGGAGAGUCAGUGUGCAGAGCAGUUUCACAUUAUGAAGAGGCAGCGGACUGAGCUUCGGCAAGCAAAGCAGCUCCACAUUUAAGAUUAGCGGCAGGCUGACUGGCUUCAGGAGGUGAACAGUCGGUAGGUUGAGCAGUCUUGCUGCCGAUUAUUCCCUACACUUCAGUCAGCAUGUGCCGGACCUUAACUGCCUUUUGGGGAUCUGAGCCUGGGGUGAGUCUUGCAAGCACCCUCUCUGCAGACCAGAAGAGAGCUUCGACAUUGGGGGUCCUCCAGACAGUGUGAUCAGUCCUCAGAUCCAGUAUUGUGUCCUGGAUGGAAACAAAGGCCUCCACUUGAAGACGACGCAGCUCCCAUGGCGCUGGCAACCCCAGAGACCUUUGAAUCCGAGGCAUUCGGGGUGUCUGGUCUGCUGGAUGCAGGGAGGCAUGAAAGCUGGAGCGGAAGUACAUGCUACUUGGGGUUGAUUGACAAUCGACUUCAAUGACCAGUCAAAUGAAGACGGAACAGACAGGUACGUUAUACAUAGACUAAGGGCAACUAGCAUCAGACAUCAAACAGCAUGACAAUUGAAAUACCUUUGAAUAUUAUGAUUUUGCACUAUUAUGUCAUGUUGUAUACUGCAGCGUCAGAUGUGAGAGUUUCAUUGGUUUAUUUUAUCAUUUAAAGUCAUAUUAAAGAGGGUAGGAGCCCCCCAUGCUGACACAAGGUCUAGUCCCACCCUCCAGAUAUGGCUGUCUGUCUACUUCAGCCAGGUGUCAUGUGGUCCAGCUGCUCAGGUCCUCAACCAUGAGUAGAUACCCACUGGGAAUCGCACCACAUGGCCGUAGUGCUGUAACUGGCGCUCCCUCACAAUGCAGGUAAUGUGCCUCAUUCAGGACUCCCUGAGCAACCACUCAUCCAACACAAAGUCAACGAAAGGCAGUACCAAAGGAGUCCAGUCUUUGUCUUAGGUCACUGGAUAGCGCCCAUUUCUCACAGCCAUACAGCAAAACAGGAAGCACUAGGACUCUAAAGACUUGGACCUUCAUCCUCUAACAAAGAUAUUGGGAGCCACACACCCCUAUCACCACACAUAAGCUACUGGGUGUUUGUCUCACUCUAGUUAAGGUUCUUCCGCUUUAUCUAUCAGGUGUUGAUCAUAUGCAGCUAGUCUUACUUUGUAAAGAAAAAGACUAUACAUACUGUGGUCAGCAUUUAGUGUUUGAUGCACUAAUUACAGAUCUCAGAGAGCUAGAGGACAAUGGAAUUGAUUGUGGGGGGCAUGUGUUCAAAGCCAAUGUGUUUACAAUUGCAGGUGACAAUCUUAGCUCACACAGCAUAAGAGGGUUUGCUGAGAAUUUCAGCAAGACCUCACAUUUUUUGCCAGUUUUGUGAAACUGACAGACACAUUUUUGUGUUCAUCACUGUCAAGGACUCCAUUAAGAUCAAGAGAGUCAUGCAUAAUACAUUUACAAGAUAUAGAGCCUGGACAAGCAAUCAAAUUUACAUCUUCCCAUGUUUGUCAGUCUGGUUUACCACUUUGCAAUGGUCAUGACCUGUUCGAAGGAGUAGUGUCCACUCAUCUAGUGUUGUUGAGUCAUCUUGUGAGUGAAGGGUAACAUUUCACUUAUUCAGAUUGGAAUCAAUGGAUGAAUCAAUUUCAGUAUUUUUGAAAUGACAGGAAUGACAAACCUUUAGAGGUAGUUGCAGACAGUGGAAAGCUAGGAGGGAAUUCUGCACUGAACUGGUGCUUUUUGAGGCUAUUGCCCUUGCUUAUUGGUGACAAGAUUGAUUCCUUUGCUGAUAAUGAGGUUUGCCAGUUUAUCUCACAUGACCAUUUUUCAGAAAAGUUAACUUUCCUGGUUUUCCUCUGAAGCCCAAGCACCAUUGUUCCGGUCACCAUGCUAGGCUGAUUGUUCGUUUCGGUCCACUUCUAUGUGUUUGGGCUCUACGGUUUGAGAGCAAGCACUCUUAUGUUAAGCAAUGCUCAAGAAGAUUGCAGAAUUUCAAGAAUUUGUGUGGAACGCUAGCAGAGCGUCACCAAGCUCUUACAAGUGUGCAUGAGCUGUUUUCCACCAUUAAUUGCAAUUUUAAAGGCAACAGAGUUUUCCCAUGAUGAUAAUUGUGAAAAGAUUAUGCAGCCAGUCAGCAGUUUCAAUCUCCAACCAGAGAACGAUGUUGCAGCAAAUGGAGACUCUCAAAGGCACGAAUUACAAAAAGAACAUGUAUAUCAUUAUUGCUAAAGCAGAUGAGAUUAUUUUAUUUGGCAGAAUCAAGCUUAUGCUUAUGCUUGUUCAGAACAAUCUGGAUGUUUACUUCAUCAGCGAAAAGUGCUCACCGUUCUCAAUUCAAAUUAGACCUUCUGUUUGUAAAUUAGGAGGACCUUUUAGAUCACCUAAGAUCCAUUCAGUGCUCCAAGCUUCUUCCUCCCUGGAAAUCACAAGGUGCAGAAAGUAAAAUUGACCACCAUCAAGAGAAUUUACCUUCAUCAGUACCUGGCUCUUCGUAUAGCUGCAGGUCAUCCCCAUGAAGAGGCAGACAUUGGACUGAGACCUUUGAGAUUCACUGGGAGAAGAUGUCUGUGGACUUACAAUCAGCAGUGGGUAAUAAGAAAAGGCAAUCACCUGAAGGUCGCCAACAUCUCAUCCAUAUUGUGAUUGAUGAAAUGAGGAAAUAUGACCUAAAUCCCACCAGAUCCCUCUGCCUAAUUUUUGGGCAGAAGAUUGUGAAGCAAUACCCUAAAUGUUUUGCAGGACGGGGAAACAUAAUUAGUUGCCGGUUAUUCUGCACUUCUAUCUAACUGAAAUAACACAGCGGCACGUUACAGGGAGAAGGAAUAGUUCUGCUGACUCAGAAGGACACACACCAGUGGCCAGAGGACCAAAGGAUAACUAUGACUGUGUCAGGUGGCAGCCUAUUGAUCUUCCACUUGCUGAAAAUGAUGAAAGCCUGGAAGAAAAACGCCAAGAGAGGACGAGCCUGUACCUACAUGAGGGAGUAUGGGGGACAGUGAGGAGAAGUGCUGGCUAAACUUAUGGUGGUCACCUGUUGUCGUUCAGCACAGGGAGAUCAAUGCCACACCUUAAGAAUUUAAGGAAAGGUGGCCAUAUUUGUUUGUUCGAAAUUACCUUUACAGGUAUUAUCAACUUUAACUUUGUAUGUUUGUUCUUUUAAGGGAUUCCAAGACUUCAAUCUUCUUAAUUCUUUGCUUUUUGAUUGGUUGAUUCUAUGCGCUGCUAUUCUGAGGGAGCUAUAUUUCCUUAUCAAAAAGCGUAUUCAUUGGAAUGUUGAGUUGCAUGAAAUGUUAUUUGUUUGGGAAAUAAUAAUGACAUCAUCUUUAAGCAAAUGUAUUUUAUUUGUAAAAUAGCAAUUAUAGACAA